AGUGAACGCUGGCGGUAGGCCUAACACAUGCAAGUCGAACGGCAGCACAGGAGAGCUUGCUCUCUGGGUGGCGAGUGGCGGACGGGUGAGGAAUACAUCGGAAUCUACUCUGUCGUGGGGGAUAACGUAGGGAAACUUACGCUAAUACCGCAUACGACCUACGGGUGAAAGCAGGGGACCUUCGGGCCUUGCGCGAUUGAAUGAGCCGAUGUCGGAUUAGCUAGUUGGCGGGGUAAAGGCCCACCAAGGCGACGAUCCGUAGCUGGUCUGAGAGGAUGAUCGUCAAAACUGGAACGGGGACACGGUCCAGACUCUUACGGGAGGCAGCAGUGGGGAAUAUUGGACAAUGGGCGCAAGCCUGAUCCAGCCAUACCGCGUGGGUGAAGAAGGCCUUCGGGUUGUAAAGCCCUUUUGUUGGGAAAGAAAUCCAGCUGGCUAAUACCCGGUUGGGAUGACGGUACCCAAUGAAUAAGCACCGGCUAACUUCGUGCCAGCCGCCGCAGUAA
rnacentral:rRNA from 1 species